rnacentral:rRNA from 3 species
GAUUCGUCACACUAUCAUUAACUGAAUCCAUAGGUUAAUGAGGCGAACCGGGGGAACUGAAACAUCUAAGUACCCCGAGGAAAAGAAAUCAACCGAGAUUCCCCCAGUAGCGGCGAGCGAACGGGGAGGAGCCCAGAGCCUGAAUCAGCAUGUGUGUUAGUGGAAGCGUCUGGAAAGGCGCGCGAUACAGGGUGACAGCCCCGUACACAAAAGCGCAUGUGCUGUGAGCUCGAUGAGUAGGGCGGGACACGUGGUAUCCUGUCUGAAUAUGGGGGGACCAUCCUCCAAGGCUAAAUACUCCUGACUGACCGAUAGUGAACCAGUACCGUGAGGGAAAGGCGAAAAGAACCCCGGCGAGGGGAGUGAAAAAGAACCUGAAACCGUGUACGUACAAGCAGUGGGAGCACCCUUCGGGGUGUGACUGCGUACCUUUUGUAUAAUGGGUCAGCGACUUAUAUUCUGUAGCAAGGUUAACCGUAUAGGGGAGCCGGAGGGAAACCGAGUCUUAACCGGGCGUUAAGUUGCAGGGUAUAGACCCGAAACCCGGUGAUCUAGCCAUGGGCAGGUUGAAGGUUGGGUAACACUAACUGGAGGACCGAACCGACUAAUGUUGAAAAAUUAGCGGAUGACCUGUGGCUGGGGGUGAAAGGCCAAUCAAACCGGGAGAUAGCUGGUUCUCCCCGAAAGCUAUUUAGGUAGCGCCUCGUGAAUUCAUCUCCGGGGGUAGAGCACUGUUUCGGCUAGGGGGCCAUCCCGGCUUACCAACCCGAUGCAAACUGCGAAUACCGGAGAAUGUUAUCACGGGAGACACACGGCGGGUGCUAACGUCCGUCGUGAAGAGGGAAACAACCCAGACCGCCAGCUAAGGUCCCAAAGUCAUGGUUAAGUGGGAAACGAUGUGGGAAGGCCCAGACAGCCAGGAUGUUGGCUUAGAAGCAGCCAUCAUUUAAAGAAAGCGUAAUAGCUCACUGGUCGAGUCGGCCUGCGCGGAAGAUGUAACGGGGCUAAACCAUGCACCGAAGCUGCGGCAGCGAACGUAUCACCCAAGACAACUUUACGGAGUUGACGAUUGACGGAGCGAAGCGACGUCAAAGCGUUCAUUAAAGUCGAGUUGGCUUAGGGAUACGUUCGUUGGGUAGGGGAGCGUUCUGUAAGCCUGUGAAGGUGUGUCGUGAGGCAUGCUGGAGGUAUCAGAAGUGCGAAUGCUGACAUAAGUAACGAUAAAGCGGGUGAAAAGCCCGCUCGCCGGAAGACCAAGGGUUCCUGUCCAACGUUAAUCGGGGCAGGGUGAGUCGACCCCUAAGGCGAGGCCGAAAGGCGUAGUCGAUGGGAAACGGGUUAAUAUUCCCGUACUUGGUGUUACUGCGAAGGGGGGACGGAGAAGGCUAUGUUGGCCGGGCGACGGUUGUCCCGGUUUAAGCGUGUAGGUGUGUGUUCCAGGUAAAUCCGGUUCACUUUAACACUGAGGCGUGACGACGAGGCACUACGGUGCUGAAGCAACAAAUGCCCUGCUUCCAGGAAAAGCCUCUAAGCAUCAGGUAACAUCAAAUCGUACCCCAAACCGACACAGGUGGUCAGGUAGAGAAUACCAAGGCGCUUGAGAGAACUCGGGUGAAGGAACUAGGCAAAAUGGUGCCGUAACUUCGGGAGAAGGCACGCUGACACGUAGGUGAAGUGAUUUACUCAUGGAGCUGAAGUCAGUCGAAGAUACCAGCUGGCUGCAACUGUUUAUUAAAAACACAGCACUGUGCAAACACGAAAGUGGACGUAUACGGUGUGACGCCUGCCCGGUGCCGGAAGGUUAAUUGAUGGGGUCAGCGCAAGCGAAGCUCCUGAUCGAAGCCCCGGUAAACGGCGGCCGUAACUAUAACGGUCCUAAGGUAGCGAAAUUCCUUGUCGGGUAAGUUCCGACCUGCACGAAUGGCGUAAUGAUGGCCAGGCUGUCUCCACCCGAGACUCAGUGAAAUUGAACUCGCUGUGAAGAUGCAGUGUACCCGCGGCAAGACGGAAAGACCCCGUGAACCUUUACUAUAGCUUGACACUGAACAUUGAGCCUUGAUGUGUAGGAUAGGUGGGAGGCUUUGAAGUGUGGACGCCAGUCUGCAUGGAGCCGACCUUGAAAUACCACCCUUUAAUGUUUGAUGUUCUAACGUGGACCCGUAAUCCGGGUUGCGGACAGUGUCUGGUGGGUAGUUUGACUGGGGCGGUCUCCUCCUAAAGAGUAACGGAGGAGCACGAAGGUUGGCUAAUCCUGGUCGGACAUCAGGAGGUUAGUGCAAUGGCAUAAGCCAGCUUGACUGCGAGCGUGACGGCGCGAGCAGGUGCGAAAGCAGGUCAUAGUGAUCCGGUGGUUCUGAAUGGAAGGGCCAUCGCUCAACGGAUAAAAGGUACUCCGGGGAUAACAGGCUGAUACCGCCCAAGAGUUCAUAUCGACGGCGGUGUUUGGCACCUCGAUGUCGGCUCAUCACAUCCUGGGGCUGAAGUAGGUCCCAAGGGUAUGGCUGUUCGCCAUUUAAAGUGGUACGCGAGCUGGGUUUAGAACGUCGUGAGACAGUUCGGUCCCUAUCUGCCGUGGGCGCUGGAGAACUGAGGGGGGCUGCUCCUAGUACGAGAGGACCGGAGUGGACGCAUCACUGGUGUUCGGGUUGUCAUGCCAAUGGCACUGCCCGGUAGCUAAAUGCGGAAGAGAUAAGUGCUGAAAGCAUCUAAGCACGAAACUUGCCCCGA